UAGAAUACUAGAGGUUUCUGGGGGACUUU
rnacentral:piRNA from 1 species